rnacentral:rRNA from 1 species
GACGAACGCUGGCGGCUUGCUUAACACAUUCAAGUCGAACGGUGAAGCGCCUUCCUUUUUGGUGGUUGUGGAUGAGUGGCGUCCGGGUGAGUAACACGUGAGUCACCUGCCCCCUUCUUCUGGAUAACUGCCUUAAAGUGUGGCUACUACGGGAUAUUCUGGAUCUGUCGCCUGCUAGGUCUGGGAUAGAUAUUGUGUCGUUGGGUGAUGGGCUCGCGGCGUAUCAGCUUGUUGGUGGGGUGAUGGCCUACCAAGGCGGUGACGGGUAGCCGGCCUGAGAGGGUGGACGGUAAGAAUGGGAGUGAGACAAGGCUCAGAAUACGACGGGAGGGAGAAGUGGGGAAUAUUGCACAAUGGGGGAAAGACUGAGGCAGAGAAGCAGCGUGAGGGAUGGAGGCGUGCGGGUUGUGAACCUCUUUAGCCAGUGAAGCAGGGAUGCCUAGUUUGUGGGUGGGUUGACGGUAGCUGGAUAAGAAGCGCAGACUAACUACGUG